rnacentral:rRNA from 1 species
AUUGAACGCUGGCGGCAGGCCUAACACAUGCAAGUCGAGCGAGCGGCGGACGGGUGAGUAAUGUAUGGGGACUGCCCGAUAGAGGGGGAUAACUACUGGAAACGGUAGCUAAUACCGCAUACUAUCGGAUAACCCAUAUGGGAUUAGCUAGUAGGUGAAGUAAUGGCUCACCUAGGCGACUAUCCCUAGCUGGUCUGCGAUGAUGAUCAGCCACAGUGGGACUGAGCCACGGACCAGACUCCUACGGAGGCAGCAGUGUUGCAUAUUGCACAAUGGGCGCAAGCCGGAUGCAGCCAUGCCGGGUGUAUGAAGAAGGCCCUAGGGUUGGAAAGUACUUUCAGUCGGGAGGCGUUACCGACAGAAGAAGCACCGGCUAACUACGUGCCAGCAGCCGCGGUAAUAC